UACGUAGGGUGCAAGCGUUGUCCGGAAUCAUUGGGCGUAAAGCGCGCGUAGGUGGCUUCGUAAGUCCGCUGUGAAAGUCAAAGGCUCAACCUUUGAAAGCCGGUGGAUACUGUGAAGCUAGAGUACGGAAGAGGCGAGUGGAAUUCCUGGUGUAGCGGUGGAAUGCGCAGAUAUCAGGAGGAACACCAAUAGCGAAGGCAGCUCGCUGGGACGUUACUGACACUGAGGCGCGAAAGCGUGGGGAGCGAACAGG
rnacentral:rRNA from 1 species